rnacentral:misc_RNA from 1 species
AUUUAAAUUUCUUUAUUAAUUUCUUAUAUAUAAUUUAUAUUAAAUAUAAAAAUAUAUUUUUUAAAUAAAAAGACGAUAAGACCCUAUUAAAUUUUACUUAUAGUUUAACUGGGGAAGUUUUAAAAAUAAAAUUUUUUAUAAAAAUAAAAAUAAAUCUAAUAAAAUUAAAAUUAAAUUAAAUUACUAUAGGGAUAACAGCAUUAUAUUUUUUAAAAGUUCAUAUUAAAAAAAAUGAUUGUGACCUCGAUGUUGAAUUAUAUUUUCUUUAUUAAUGCAAUAAUUAUAAAAGUAGAUCUGUUCGAUCUUUAAAAUAUUACAUGAUUUGAGUUCAAACCGGUGUAAACCAGGUUGGUUUCUAUCUUUUUAUAAAUUCAUAUAUAUAUAUAUAUAUAUACAUAAAUUUUUCAAGUACGAAAGGAAAAAAAAAUUUUUAUUUUAAUUAAUUAGCAAUUAAUAUGCAUUAGAUUUAGAAUCUAAAUAAACUAUUAUU